ACUCCUACGGGAGGCAGCAGUAGGGAAUCUUCCACAAUGGACGAAAGUCUGAUGGAGCAACGCCGCGUGAGUGAAGAAGGGUUUCGGCUCGUAAAACUCUGUUGUUAAAGAAGAACAUAUCUGAGAGUAACUGUUCAGGUAUUGACGGUAUUUAACCAGAAAGCCACGGCUAACUACGUGCCAGCAGCCGCGGUAAUACGUAGGUGGCAAGCGUUGUCCGGAUUUAUUGGGGCGUAAAGCGAGCGCAGGCGGUUUUUAAGUCUGAUGUGAAAGCCUUCGGCUCAACCGAAGAAGUGCAUCGGAAACUGGGAAACUUGAGUGCAGAAGAGGACAGUGGAACUCCAUGUGUAGCGGUGAAAUGCGUAGAUAUAUGGAAGAACACCAGUGGCGAAGGCGGCUGUCUGGUCUGUAACUGACGCUGAGGCUCGAAAGUAUGGG
rnacentral:rRNA from 1 species